AUGGCGCAUACCCCGAACCCCAGCCGGCGGUCGUGGGUGAGCCCGCCGACCCCCUUCCUCACGCCGCGACCCGAGCGCCGGGAGCUGCGGUGGGCGGAAGCGGGCUCGCACAGCUCCGUGCGCCGCAGCGGCGUAGGCGCCUGCAGCAUCAACGGCGGCAAUGACAGGGACCGCGAGGCGAACGUGCAGGUCGUGCUCCGAUGCAGACCGCUAAGCGUGGAGGAGCAGAAAGCGAAUGUCCAGAGUGCCGUCUCCUGCAACGACACCAAGAGGGAGGUCACAGUUCUGAACAGUCUAUUCAAGCAAGCAGACAAAACAUUCACCUUUGACAAGGUAUUUGGCCCAAAAUCUCAGCAGAGGGCAAUAUAUGAUCAUGCUGUUGCACCAAUUGUCGAUGAUGUCCUUGAAGGCUACAAUUGUACUGUCUUUGCCUUUGGACAAACUGGAACCGGGAAAACUUAUACUAUGGAGGGAGAGAUGAUGCAGCAGGUAGGUGAACUGCCAGCUAGUGCUGGUGUCAUGCCAAGAGCAGUGCGCCAUAUUUUUGACAUUUUGAAAGCACAGAAGGCUGUCUAUAGCAUGAAGGUAACCUUCUUGGAGCUCUAUAACGAAGAAAUAACAGAUCUGUUGGCUUCAGAGGACCAAAGUAGAUUCCCUGAAGAUAGACACAAAAGGCCUACUAUAUCUCUUAUGGAAGAUGGCAAAGGUGGGUCUGUCAUAAGAGGCCUUGAAGAAAUUGUUGUCUACAGUCCUGGUGAGAUAUAUAGUCUGUUACAACAUGGAUCAACUAGGAGACGCACUGCCGACACUGCACUGAAUAUGCAAAGCAGCCGUUCACAUUCUGUCUUUUCUAUAUAUAUCCAUGUCAAAGUAACAACAACAGGGAAUCAGGAACUCAUGAAAUAUGGGAGGUUGAACCUUGUAGACCUGGCAGGAUCAGAGAGUAUAGCUCGAUCAGGUGCAAAAGAGGUUAGAGCAAGAGAAGCUGGAGAGCUGAAUAAGAGCUUACUAACACUGGGUCGUGUCAUCACUGCACUUGUUGAAGAUUCAGUUCAUGUACCAUACAGGGACAGUAAGCUCACCAGGUUGCUUAGGGAAUCCUUAGGUGGAAAAGCCAAAACUUGCAUCAUAGCAACAGUAACUCCAUCUGUCCACUGCCUGGAAGAAACUCUAGUUACACUUGAUUAUGCUUAUCGUGCUAAAAGCAUAAGAAACAAACCAGAGGUAAACCAAAAAGUUCGCAAAUCUCCUAUGCUUAAGGAUCUCUAUCAACAAAUGGAAAAAAUGAAACAAGAUGUAAAAGCCGCAAGGGAAAAGAAUGGAAUUUAUAUCCCCCAGGAAAGGUUUGAUCUUGAGGAGGCAGAGAAAAAGACAAUGAGGGAAAAGGUGGAACAUAUGGAGCUUAGCAUGGAGAAGCAGAGCAAAGAGCUCGAAAAAUACAGAAGUUUGUACAUAGCAGAGCAGGAGCACAGGUUGAAUUUGGAAGGUCAGAAUAAAGAGUUAAAGGCGAGGAUUGAAACUGGCAAGAGGGAAUUUCUGGAUCUUCAGGAAGCUCAUUCUAGAGCUAACAUCUCUCUGAAGGAAAAGGACUUCAUAAUCUCAAAUUUACUCCAUGCCAAGAAUGUAAUCCUUGAACGUGCAAAGGUUCUGUGUGGCACUGUCGAAACUGCAUCUGGAGAUAUUGCUCAUCUUCAGAAUAAACUAGGAAGGCAAUCGAAAACUGAAGUUGAAAAUAAAGGGUUGCUAUUCAAUUUUCGGUCUCAAAUCGAUCAGAGUCUUGGACUUCUUCAUAACACAGUUGUUGGGUCGAUUCGUGAGCAGCACCAAUUUAUGGAGUCCAUGACUGGACAAAUGAAUUCAUAUUUUUCAGCUAAAUCUGAGUCAGCUAACCAUUUGAAGAGAAGAAUCGCAAAGGCCAAAGAUAUGUAUACCUCUGGUGUGCAAUGCAUGAACGAGCUUGUCAAUACUCUGCGGCAGCGGUCCAUCACAGACUCUGAGCAGAUGAAACUGAAUAUAUCUUCACAAGCAAUAGCUGUUGACAAUUUUAUAGCAGUGAUGGUUUCAGAGACUGAACAAGUAUUAACUGAGGUUUUGAGAUCUACUUCUGAACUCAAGGAGCUAUUAGCAUUUUCUGCUGAACAACAAGAAUUAGGAUUGCAAAAGAGUCUUACCUCAGCACAAGCCAUGUCGAAGACGUCAAUAGAUUUUUUUAAUGAUAUUAGUACACAUGCGUCUAGGCUCAUGAAACUUAUGGAGCAAAGUCAAAGAGGAUGCUCCUCUCGUCUUGCUGAAUUUGAGAAGGGUUUUGAGGAAGUUGCUAUUAGAGAAGAGCAAGCUGCUGUUGACAAGAUUGCUGGAAUUUUAGCUGGCUUGACUGCCAGGAAAAGGACAAUGGUUUCAGAAUAUGUUGGACAACUGAAUGAUAAGUAUAGUGAGGAGCAGGAACACCUGGCGUUGGAAAUGUCCAGCCUACAACAAGUUUCAGAUAAUGGCAAAAAAGAGGCUGCAUCCUGUGCUGAGAAGCUAAAGAACCAAUUCCUGGAUGAUAUGUCAUCGCAUGCUAAUACCAAAGAUAAAAUGGGAGACGUCUUGCAGCAGUGCUUGAAGGGAAGCCACCAUUCUGUUUCUUACUGGUCACAUAUGCAGUCAUGUUUAGAACAUCUAAAUAAGAGCUCAGUUGUGGAAGCUAAUGAUUUUAUACAAGAGGGAAGAAAUGAAAAUGAAAGUAUUAUCCAGGAGAUUCAACUUCGUUCUUCACACAAUGAUGCAGGAUUCCAUGCCAUUACAUCUGAUAUUUUGACUGCUUCAGAGAAUUCUCACUUACUGGAUCAUGAAACUAGAAAGAGAAUGGAAACUCUAUCCACCUCCUUCUCGAAUCAUUUGGGAUUGCUGACUGAAAAACACAAUCAGGGCACAGAGUCUAUAAGAACCUUUACAAGUAACUUUAUGGAAAAAGAUUACUCGGUUAACAGUCCAGUUCGUCAUCGCCCACAGGAGCUACUGGCCGGUGCAUAUAGCUUCGAAUCAAUUGAAGAAUUGAAAGCCUCGGUGCCAGAUCUUGUGGCGAAAUUCAAAUCAAAGAACAAGCUGGAUGAAGUGGACAAAGGAAAAAGCUACUCGGAUCAAACGACACGUGCUCCUAGAAGUCCUCUCACGCCAGUCAAUCACUAG
rnacentral:rRNA from 1 species